rnacentral:rRNA from 1 species
AGUGGAUGGGGAGCAACCUAGUUGUGCGUGUGUAAAGGUAGUGCCAAGAAAAGCGAUGAUCAUGUUGAAAAUCAAUUCCCGGUACCCGAAACCGACACAGGUGGGCAAGUAGAGAAUACUAAGGGGCGCGAGGUAACUCUCUCCAAGGAACUCGGCAAAAUGACCCCGUAACUUAGGGAGAAGGGGUGCCACCGAGAGGUGGUCGCAGUGAAGAGGCCCAGGCGACUGUUUAGCAAAAACAUAGGUCUCUGCAAACUCGAAAGAGGAGGUAUAGGGGCUGACGCCUGCCCAGUGCCGGAAGGUUAAAGAAGUUGGUCAGUUUUAGGAUGAAGCUAGCGACUGAAGCCCCGGUGAACGGCGGCCGUAACUAUAACGGUCCUAAGGUAGCGAAAUUCCUUGUCGGGUAAGUUCCGACCCGCACGAAAGGCGUAACGAUCUGGGCGCUGUCUCGGAGAGAGGCUCGGCGAAAUAGGAUUGUCUGUGAAGAUACGGACUACCUGCAUUUGGACAGAAAGACCCUAUGAAGCUUUACUAUAGCUUGGAAUUGUGUUCGGGCUUCCUGUGCGCAGGAUAGGUGGGAGGCGUAGAAGGUAUUCUUGUGGGGAUACUGGAGCCAACGGUGAGAUACCACUCUCAGGAGGCUAGAAUUCUAACUUAAUUAAGGACAGUUUCAGGUGGGUAGUUUGACUGGGGCGGUCGCCUCCAAAAAGGUAACGGAGGCGUACAAAGGUUCCCUCAGACUGGUUGGAAAUCAGUCGAAGAGUGCAAAGGCAGAAGGGAGCUUGACUGCGAGAAGUACAGUUCAAGCAGGGUGGAAACACGGUCUUAGUGAUCCGACGGUGCUGUGUGGAAGGGCCGUCGCUCAACGGAUAAAAGUUACUCUAGGAUAACAGGCUGAUCUCCCCCAAGAGUUCACAUCGACGGGGAGGUUUGGCACCUCGAUGUCGGCUCAUCGCAACCUGGGGCGGAAGUACGUCCCAAGGGUUGGGCUGUUCGCCCAUUAAAGCGGUACGUGAGCUGGGUUCAGAACGUCGUGAGACAGUUCGGUCCAUAUCCGAUGUAGGCGUGAGAAUAUUGAGAGGAGCCUUCCUUAGUACGAGAGGACCGGGAAGGACGCACCGCUGGUGUACCUGUUAUGAUGCCAAUUGUAAACGCAGAGUAGCCAAGUGCGGAGAGGAUAACCGCUGAAAGCAUCUAAGUGGGAAGCCCACCUCAAGAUGAGUAUUCUGGUGUAAGGUCACGGGAAGACGACCCGUAAUAGGCACGAGGUGGAAGUGCAGAGAUGUAUGAAGCCGAAGUGUACUAAUAGACCGUCGGCUUGACC